CACUCAUGUUUUUCUUCAUAGCGUAUAAAUCUUUCGCCUUUUACUAAAGACUUCCGUGGGGAGGAACACAAUGAGUAUAAGCUAAUUUUUUGAUGCCCUGCUGAACUGUGGGGCU
rnacentral:snRNA from 1 species